rnacentral:rRNA from 1 species
CACUAGAAGCCGAUGAAGGACGUUACUAACGACGAUAUGCUUUGGGGAGCUGUAAGUAAGCUUUGAUCCAGAGAUUUCCGAAUGGGGAAACCCAGCAUGAGUUAUGUCAUGUUAUCGAUAUGUGAAUACAUAGCAUAUCAGAAGGCACACCCGGAGAACUGAAACAUCUUAGUACCCGGAGGAAGAGAAAGAAAAUUCGAUUCCCUUAGUAGCGGCGAGCGAAACGGGAAGAGCCCAAACCAACAAGCUUGCUUGUUGGGGUUGUAGGACACUCUAUACGGAGUUACAAAGGACGACAUUAGACGAAUCAUCUGGAAAGAUGAAUCAAAGAAGGUAAUAAUCCUGUAGUCGAAAAUGUUGUCUCUCUUGAGUGGAUCCUGAGUACGACGGAGCACGUGAAAUUCCGUCGGAAUCUGGGAGGACCAUCUCCUAAGGCUAAAUACUCUCUAGUGACCGAUAGUGAACCAGUACCGUGAGGGAAAGGUGAAAAGCACCCCGGAAGGGGAGUGAAAUAGAACCUGAAACCGUGUGCUUACAAGUAGUCAGAGCCCGUUAAUGGGUGAUGGCGUGCCUUUUGUAGAAUGAACCGGCGAGUUACGAUUUGAUGCAAGGUUAAGCAGUAAAUGUGGAGCCGUAGCGAAAGCGAGUCUGAAUAGGGCGUUUAGUAUUUGGUCGUA